rnacentral:rRNA from 1 species
AGUUUGAUCCUGGCUCAGAACGAACGCUGGCGGCGUGCCUAACACAUGCAAGUCGAACGGAUUUGAGGGGCUUGCUCCUCAAGUUAGUGGCGCACGGGUGAGUAACGCGUAGAUAAUCUGCCUGAUGAUCCGGGAUAACACUUCGAAAGGGGUGCUAAUACCGGAUAAGCUCACGGAGUCUUUGGACUCUGCGGGAAAAGGGGGGGACCUUCGGGCCUUCUGUCAUCAGAUGAGUCUGCGUACCAUUAGCUAGUUGGUAGGGUAAUGGCCUACCAAGGCUACGAUGGUUAGCUGGUUUGAGAGAAUGAUCAGCCACACUGGAACUGAGACACGGUCCAGACUCCUACGGGAGGCAGCAGUGGGGAAUUUUGCGCAAUGGGCGAAAGCCUGACGCAGCAACGCCGCGUGAGUGAUGAAGGCUUUCGGGUCGUAAAGCUCUGUCGAGGGGAAAGAAGUGUAUUGUGGCUAAUAUCCACGAUACUUGACGGUACCCCUAAAGGAAGCACCGGCUAACUCCGUGCCAGCAGCCGCGGUAAUACGGGGGGUGCAAGCGUUGUUCGGAAUUAUUGGGCGUAAAGAGCGUGUAGGCGGUUUGCUAAGUCUGAUGUGAAAGCCCUGGG